rnacentral:miRNA from 13 species
AUCAACAGACAUUAAUUGGGCGC